GCAGAAUUGAGAACUAGGGCUGUCCUCGACUAAAGAAAUUCUAAGUUGACAAACACUUAUAUGAUUUUGUUGACUAACUGAUUAGUUGAUUUAAUCAAUCAGAGCAAUGUGCUUUGAGAGGUGGUUAAGACUAGAAAAGCA